rnacentral:lncRNA from 1 species
UGUCUCCUUUUCUUCAAAAAUUUCUUAAACCUUCUAGUAAUGAGAGCCAUUUCUUCAUCUUGCUCUUCAUUUUCUGUAUCAUCAAUUUUCUCAUCAAGUUGAGCAGUUGAUUUGAGGGCGAUUAUCUUCUUCUUUUUGACAUCUUCUUCUUGAUGUUGUUUCAUGCUCAGCUCGUGAGUCAUCAGCGAUCUUAGAAGCUCUUCCAAAG